CGGGAACCGUGUCGCGCUGCGUCGUUCUCCAGCGAAAACCGAUCAAGGGGACUGCACAAUCCUUUUGAAUGCUGUGCAAGGGACAACGGAAGGUCAGAGUGCAAAGAACAGGGGUCCUCAUACCUCCCUGCAAGCAAAUUCUUCUCAGUUAUCCCAGCCUUACUGUAUCAUGGAACACAUAACCUUCUCCCUUUCAGAUAUAUUUGAUUAUGAGAAAUUGAGUGAAACCACCCGAGCAGCAGUUUCAUCACUCUUGGAAGUGCAUCAGGGUUGCUGUCUCAGAGGCUGACUUUAACCUAGCCAAGUAUCUACGGAUGAACGCAGAGCCAGAUUUAUUUGUGCAUGUAUUUAUUUAAGUGCUCUAAUGGUGUUGCUUUGUUUGGGGACAACCAAACCUUGGUUCGUAGAGAAUAGCAACUGCAGACUUAGUGGCUUGCUGCAUACCCUUUACACACACUGCUGACUUGUGGAAAGAGAGCAGAUCGAUUUCCCUCCGAGCUGGCUGGAAGGUGCGGGCAGGAACACGUUCCUACCAGCUCGCUGGCCCCAGCCCGCGUGAGCCCACUUGCACGGCGAGACGCGGAGCAGCGGCCAUUUUGCUGUACGGUCCGGUACUCUGCGGUGCGGCGCGGCUCCCCGGGCGCUCUCCAUGGUGCUGUCGCGGGCGGGAGGCACUCGCGGCCCGGCACGGCCCUGCUCCCUUCGGGGCUCGCAAGUCUUCUCCCUCGGACUGCACCUCUGCUCCACUUCCCUUCCUUCUGGCAAGGGCACGGAGUCCUGAUUCCACGCCUUUGAAGAAAGCUCGAGCGAGCCAUGUUGGUUAACCCACGUGUGAAGGACCCGCAGACUGCUUUGUAUCUGGCCAUCACCCUUUGACCUGUAAAAAGAGUAUGUUUUUAUCUGGAAAUUAAGCUAGCGUCAACACAAACGAUAGGAAAAAAAAUGGCGUUUAGAAGUACUGACAUGAUUAACUUAAGGUUUUGAUGGACUUAAUUCAUUUCUUCAUCUCAUUUUUUCUCUGUGGAAUGCUGGUGUACACAGUUUAGCUGGGGGCAUAGUAUUCCAGUUCAACUACUGAGAAGCAUGAUUGCUGGAAUACAGUGAUUAUCAUUUCCUAUUACUCUUUUGUACAUAUUUUUUACAUAUUUAUAAUUUAAAAUAUAACUGUCCUAUA
rnacentral:lncRNA from 1 species